rnacentral:rRNA from 1 species
CCUACGGGUGGCAGCAGUGGGGAAUAUUGGACAAUGGGCGGAACCCUGAUCCAGCGAAGCCGCGUGAGUGAAGAAGGAUUUCGGUAUGGAAAGCUCUAUCAGCAGGGAAGAAAAUGACGGUACCUGACUAAGAAGCCCCGGCUAACUACGGGCCAGCAGCCGCGGUAAUACGUAGGGGGCAAGCGUUAUCCGGAUUUACUGGGGGUAAGGGGAGCGUAGACGGGGCAGCAAGUCUGAUGUGAAAGGGCGGGGACCAACCCCGGGACUGCAUUUGAAACUGUUGAGCUGGAGUACAGGAGGGGUAAGCGGAAUUCCUAGUGUAGCGGUGAAAUGCGUAGAUAUUAGGAGGAACACCAGUGGCGAAGGCGGCUUACUGGACUGUAACUGACGUUGAGGCUCGAAAGCGUGGGGAGCAAACAGGAUUAGAUACCCUUGUAGUC